rnacentral:tRNA from 1 species
GACCAUAUAGCUCAGUUGGUUAGAGCGCUACAUUGACAUUGUAGAGGUCAGAAGUUCGAAUCUUCUUAUGGUCACAA